UGGGGAAUUUUGGACAAUGGGGGAAACCCUGAUCCAGCCAUCCCGCGUGUGCGAUGAAGGCCUUCGGGUUGUAAAGCACUUUUGGCAGGAAAGAAACGUCGCGGGUUAAUACCCCGCGAAACUGACGGUACCUGCAGAAUAAGCACCGGCUAACUACGUGCCAGCAGCCGCGGUAAUACGUAGGGUGCAAGCGUUAAUCGGAAUUACUGGGCGUAAAGCGUGCGCAGGCGGUUCGGAAAGAAAGAUGUGAAAUCCCAGAGCUUAACUUUGGAACUGCAUUUUUAACUACCGGGCUAGAGUGUGUCAGAGGGAGGUGGAAUUCCGCGUGUAGCAGUGAAAUGCGUAGAUAUGCGGAGGAACACCGAUGGCGAAGGCAGCCUCCUGGGAUAACACUGACGCUCAUGCACGAAAGCGUGGGGAGCAAACAGGAUUAGAUACCCUGGUAGUCCACGCCCUAAACGAUGUCAACUAGCUGUUGGGGGCCUUCGGGCCUUGGUAGCGCAGCUAACGCGUGAAGUUGACCGCCUGGGGAGUACGGUCGCAAGAUUAAAACUCAAAUG
rnacentral:rRNA from 1 species